rnacentral:rRNA from 1 species
CCUACGGGUGGCAGCAGUCGAGAAUCAUUCACAAUGGGGGAAACCCUGAUGGUGCGACGCCGCGUGGGGGAAUGAAGGUCUUCGGAUUGUAAACCCCUGUCAUGUGGGAGCAAAUUAAAAAGAUAGUACCACAAGAGGAAGAGACGGCUAACUCUGUGCCAGCAGCCGCGGUAAGACAGAGGUCUCAAGCGUUGUUCGGAAUCACUGGGCGUAAAGCGUGCGUAGGCUGUUUCGUAAGUCGUGUGUGAAAGGCGCGGGCUCAACCCGCGGACGGCACAUGAUACUGCGAGACUAGAGUAAUGGAGGGGGAAGCGGAAUUCUCGGUGUAGCAGUGAAAUGCGUAGAUAUCGAGAGGAACACUCGUGGCGAAGGCGGGUUCCUGGACAUUAACUGACGCUGAGGCACGAAGGCCAGGGGAGCGAACGGGAUUAGAUACCCCAGUAGUC